rnacentral:rRNA from 1 species
AUAUGUAUUGAGUUUUUGUCGACUCCAAAUUUCGACCUUUAGUUAAGCGUGCUUGGGCGAAAGUAGUACUAAGAUGGGUGACCUCCUGGGAAGUCCUCGUGUUGCAUCCU